rnacentral:misc_RNA from 1 species
GAUGAAGAACGCAGCAAAAUGCGAUAAGUAAUGUGAAUUGCAGAAUUCAGUGAAUCAUCGAAUCUUUGAACGCACAUUGCGCCCGCCAGUAUUCUGGCGGGCAUGCCUGUUUGAGCGUCAUUUCAACCCUCAAGCACAGCUUGGUGUUGGGACUCGCGUUAAUUCGCGUUCCCCAAAUUGAUUGGCGGUCACGUCGAGCUUCCAUAGCGUAGUAGUAAAACCCUCGUUACUGGUAAUCGUCGCGGCCACGCCGUUAAACCCCAACUUCUGAAUGUUGACCUCGGAUCAGGUAGGAAUACCCGCUGAACUUAAGCAUAUCAAUAAGCGGAGGA